UUUGAGCAUAGCCACUUUUUGGUGGG
rnacentral:piRNA from 1 species